rnacentral:lncRNA from 13 species
GUUAGGGUCCUUGGUAUCUUCCACUAUCUGGAUAGGACUCUAUGAUGAUGUUAAUAGCUGGAGAUGGUCUCUGGAAGAGUUCUAUAGGUUUCUCCACUCAGUCGCUCCCUCUCUAACAACAACAUGUCAACCCAACAUUGUGUUUGCAUCAUCGAUGAUGGAGAAUGGAGAGAUGAACCAUGUUCUGAUUAAAUGUUCUUUGUUUGCUAUGACGGUAAGACUUUCCUGUAGCCCUUUAUUUAUACAUUCAUAAAGCCUUUAUAACAGCUACAUAAGACAUAACAUCAGUCUUAGGCAGUCAUUCUAUAUUUUCCAUGGUAUUUUCAGGUAAGAAUAACAGCCAUGUUUUCAUUGACAGAAGAGAACUGGUCUGAAGCUCAGAGUUACUGAAGAGAGUACCACACAGACCUGGCCAGUGUGAGGAACCAGACUGAGAACCAGGAGAUGGUGUCUGAGAUGGUGUCUGAGGGUAGUAAAGUGUGGAUCGAACUGUUCAGAGACUCCUGUAAGUGGUUGGAUGAGAGUGACUCCUCCUUCAGAUACUGGUGGCUUUCACAACCCACUAAUGAUAACAACGAUCACCGCUGUGUUUACAUUCAAGAGAGGAAAUGGAAUGAUUGGAGAUGCCCAGCCUCACUCAGCUACCUCUACGACAUCCUACAGUGUGACUCCACCUCCUCAUACAGUGAAAAUCCCAACAGAUGUCAGCCAAGUACAAGAGAGUGUGACUUCAUCUCCUUCAACUGUGAAAACACAAGUCAGGCUCCACCUUUAAUGACAAAAAUGAGUCAAGAGUUCAUUCACCUAUUCCAAAUGACCCAUUCUAAAUUUUAAUCCACAAUGGUAGCAUUGUCAUGAUCAAAUUAGUAAAAUGUGUGUGUGUGUAUAUAUAUAUAUAUACACACAGUGGGGCAAAAAAGUAUUUAGUCAGCCACCAAUUGUGCAAGUUCUCAAUCAAUCUCGCAAAUGGGCCAUUUGUAGCCUUAGCAUUUGGCUCAUUUGGGGCGGCAGGGUAGCCUAGUGGUUAGAGUGUUGGACUAGCAACCGGAAAGUUGGAAGUUCAAACGCCCGAGCUGACAAGGUACAAAUCUGUCAUUCUUCCCCUGAACAGGCAGUUAACCCACUGUCAUUGAAAAUAAGAAUUUGUUCUUAACUGACUUGCCUACUUAAUUAAAGGUAAAAAAUAAUAAUAAUAAUAACAUCACAAUUGGCAGAACAUAGACUAACAUUUGUUUUUUAUGUUAAUCCAGGUUUUUCUUGAUCAGAGAUUUAGAGAUCCUCUGUCCAACUUUCAUAAUUCAAACCCUCCUGUUUGAUGUAUCCAUAGUUAUGCACAUGCACAAAGGGGAUUUAUUUACAAUUAUAAACCUGGUUCAAGCCCUGAAUGCUGAUUGGCUGAAAGCCGUGGUAUAUCAGACCAUAUACCACUGCUAUAACAAAACAUUAAUUUUUACUAUUUUAAUUACGUUGGUAACCAAUUUAUAAUAGCAAUAAAGCACCCCCGGGGUUUGCUGUAAUAUACCACAUCUAACUGCUGUAUCCAGGCACUUCGCAAUGCGUCAUGCUUAAGAACAGCCCUUAGCCGUGGUAUAUUGGCCACAUACCAAGGGCGAAUUCUCUUUACUCUUGCCACUGUUGUUGAAAAUUGCAAGAUUAUGUUAUAAUGCUUGUAUUGUGAAGUUUAUAACUCUUCUCAUUUGGUAAAGCAGAAAUAAGCCACC